rnacentral:rRNA from 1 species
AUUUACUUUAAAUUUAAAGAAUUUGGCGGUGAUUCAGCCUAGUCAGAGGAACCUGUUUUUUAAUCGAUAUAACACGUAAAAAAUUUACUUAUUUUUGUUCAGUUUGUAUACCAUCAUUAUCAGAUAAUUUUAUAGAAAAUAAAUUAUUAAAAAUAAUUAUAUUAGUUAAAUUAGAUCAAGGUGCAGCUUAUAAAUAAGUUAAAGUGGGUUACAAUAAGAUUUACUUAGACGAAAUAAGGUCAGUAUUGGGCUUUAGGAAGGAGGAUUUGAUUGUAAUAUAAGUUUAAUAAGUUUUGGUGAUAAAAGCUCUGAAUUGUGUACACAUCGCC